CCUACGGGAGGCAGCAGUGGGGGAUAUUGCACAAUGGGGGAAACCCUGAUGCAGCGACGCCGCGUGGGUGAAGAAGUAUUUCGGUAUGUAAAGCCCUAUCAGCAGGGAAGAAAGAAGCCGGUACUUGACUAAGAAGCCCGGGCUAAUUACGUGCCAGCAGCCGCGGUAAUACGUAGGGGGAGAGCGUUAGCCGGUUUGACGGGGUGUAAAGGGAGCGUAGACGGCUGUGCAAGCCAGGAGUGAAAGCCCGGGGCCCAACCCCGGGACUGCUCUGGGAACUGUGCGGCUGGAGUGCGGGAGGGGCAAGCGGAAUUCCUAGUGUAGCGGUGAAAUGCGUAGAUAUCAGGAGGAACACCGGCGGCGAAGGCGGCCUGCUGGACCGCAACUGACGUUGAGGCUCGAAAGCGUGGGGAGCGAACAGGAUUAGAUACCCUGGUAGUC
rnacentral:rRNA from 1 species